rnacentral:rRNA from 1 species
AUUAGAUACCCUGGUAGUCCACGCAGUAAACGAUGAAUGUCAGCUGUCCGGGACUUCGGUCCUGGGUGGCACAGCGAAAGCGUUAAACAUUCCACCUGGGGAGUACGCCGGCAACGGUGAAACUCAAAGGAAUUGACGGGGGCCCGCACAAGCGGAGGAACAUGUGGUUUAAUUCGAUGAUACGCGAGGAACCUUACCCGGGCUCAAACGUGACUGGAAUGUCCGCGAAAGCGGGCAGCCCUUCGGGGCCGGUUACGAGGUGCUGCAUGGUUGUCGUCAGCUCGUGCCGUGAGGUGUCGGCUUAAGUGCCAUAACGAGCGCAACCCCUACCGACAGUUGCUAACAAGCGAAGUUGAGGACUCUGUCGGGACUGCCGGCGCAAGCUGCGAGGAAGGCGGGGAUGACGUCAAAUCAGCACGGCCCUUACGUCCGGGGCGACACACGUGUUACAAUGGCGGGUACAGCGGGAGGCCAUGCGGCGACGCAGAGCGGAACCCGAAAACCCGUCUCAGUUCGGAUUGGAGUCUGCAACCCGACUCCAUGAAGCUGGAUUCGCUAGUAAUCGCGCAUCAGCCACGGCGCGGUGAAUACGUUCCCGGGCCUUGUACACACCGCCCGUCAAGCCAUGGGAGCCGGGGGUGCCUGAAGUGCGUGACCGCAAGGAGCGCCCUAAGGUAAAACCGGUGACUGGGGCUAAGUCGUAACAAGGUAAC